CCUACGGGAGGCAGCAGUGGGGAAUAUUGGACAAUGGGCGCAAGCCUGAUCCAGCCAUGCCGCGUGAGUGAUGACGGCCUUAGGGUUGUAAAGCUCUUUCGCUCGGGACGAUAAUGACGGUACCUAGAUAAGAAGCCCCGGCUAACUUCGUGCCAGCAGCCGCGGUAAUACGAAGGGGGCUAGCGUUGUUCGGAAUUACUGGGCGUAAAGCGCGUGUAGGCGGGUCUUUAAGUCAGGGGUGAAAUGCCAAGGCUCAACCUUGGAACUGCCUUUGAUACUGGAGAUCUUGAGUCCGGGAGAGGUGAGUGGAAUUGCGAGUGUAGAGGUGAAAUUCGUAGAUAUUCGCAAGAACACCAGUGGCGAAGGCGGCUCACUGGCCCGGAACUGACGCUGAGACGCGAAAGCGUGGGGAGCAAACAGGAUUAGAUACCCUGGUAGUCCACGCUGUAAACGAUGGAUGCUAGCCGUUGGGGAGCUUGCUCACUAGUGGCGCAGCUAACGCUUUAAGCAUUCCGCCUGGGGAGUACGGUCGCAAGAUUAAAACUCAAAGGAAUUGACGG
rnacentral:rRNA from 1 species